rnacentral:rRNA from 1 species
AAUAUUGGGCAAUGGACGAAAGUCUGACCCAGCCAUGCCGCGUGGAGGAUGAAGGUCCUCUGGAUUGUAAACUUCUUUUAUCUGGGAAGAAACCCACGGUUUCCACUGUGGUUGACGGUACCAGAUGAAUAAGCACCGGCUAACUCCGUGCCAGCAGCCGCGGUAAUACGGAGGGUGCAAGCGUUAUCCGGAUUCACUGGGUUUAAAGGGUGCGUAGGCUGGUUGCCAAGUCCGUGGUGAAAUCUCUGAGCUUAACUCAGAAACUGCCGUGGAUACUGGUAAUCUUGAAUAUCGCGGAGGUGAGCGGAAUAUGUCAUGUAGCGGUGAAAUGCGUAGAUAUGACAUAGAACACCGAUAGCGAAGGCAGCUUACUACACGAUCAUUGACGCUGAGGCACGAAAGCGUGGGGAGCAAACAGG